rnacentral:rRNA from 1 species
AUUGAACGCUGGCGGCAGGCCUAACACAUGCAAGUCGAACGGUAACAGGAAGAAGCUUGCUUCUUUGCUGACGAGUGGCGGACGGGUGAGUAAUGUCUGGGAAACUGCCUGAUGGAGGGGGAUAACUACUGGAAACGGUAGCUAAUACCGCAUAAUGUCGCAAGACCAAAGAGGGGGACCUUCGGGCCUCUUGCCAUCGGAUGUGCCCAGAUGGGAUUAGCUAGUAGGUGGGGUAUCGGCUCACCUAGGCGACGAUCCCUAGCUGGUCUGAGAGGAUGACCAGCCACACUGGAACUGAGACACGGUCCAGACUCCUACGGGAGGCAGCAGUGGGGAAUAUUGCACAAUGGGCGCAAGCCUGAUGCAGCUAUGCCGCGUGUAUGAAGAAGGCCUUCGGGUUGUAAAGUACUUUCAGCGGGGAGGAAGGGAGUAAAGUUAAUACCUUUGCUCAUUGACGUUACCCGCAGAAGAAGCACCGGCUAACUCCGUG